rnacentral:lncRNA from 10 species
UGUCCUGUGGUUCCAUGGUGCCAUGCACCUGUAAUCCCAGCUACUCCGGAGGCUGAGGCAGGAGAAUCGCUUGAACCCAGGAGGUGGAGGUUGCAGUGAGCCGAGAUCGCGCCAUCGCACUCCAGCCUGGGUGAAAAAGAGCACAACUCCAUCUCGGGGCAAAAAAAGAAAGCACAGGGAUUGGCCCAGGUUGGACACAUGACUUAAGUGUCGACAAGCGAAAUUACACUCAGGGUGGGGAGAAAAGGGAAGCCCUGUUCUUCCUGGUCCCUUUCCCUGGCCGGCAUGGGCUGAGAGUAGGAACUGGCCAGCCCCGGGCAGGAGAGGCAGCAUUCCUGUGGGACUUGGAGCUCUUCCAGGGUGGCUCAUGGUCUGCCCAGCUCCGUCUUCAGCCUGAGGUCCCUGGAGAGGGUCUCGGAUGUGAGCGUGCACACGCUCCCACAGUGCUCUGGUUUCUGGCUGGUGUGCACGGAGAUCUAAGGAGCAGUCUACACUGGGCAGCUGAUUGAAUCCUGUUCAGCCUCACGUGGGUUAAAGGGCUACAGUGUUGCUCUCAGACAUCCUUUUAGAUCUCAUGAGAUGGCUAUGUCUGUACCUGGCAACAGAGUUGUCAUGUAAAUGGUAACUUUUGGUUCUUAACAUGCAGUGAACUGAUGGUCUAAUAUAGGAAACAUACAAGUGAUAGGUUGCAGUGUAGCCUAAUGGGAGUGGAGUGUGGGGCAUGGUUGGAACUCAAGCUGCAAGAGCACGCCUCUCUCAGGUUGCACAAAUGGUCAGCCAGUGUCUGAGGCUGCACCUCUGCUGGAUGUUCUACAUACAUUUCAUUUACCUCUCAGCAAUCUAGGGAUACAGUCUUUCAUUUUAGAGGUUGUUUUUUCGUUUUUUGUUUUUUUCUUUUGAGAUGGAGUUUCGUUCCUGUUUCCCAGACGUGUGUGGUGGCAUGAUUUCACCUCACUGCAACCUCCGCCUCCCGGGUUGAAUCGAUUCUCCUGCCUCAGCCUCC